UGGCUCUGGCAUCGAUGAAGAACGCAGCGAAAUGCGAUAAGUAGUGUGAAUUGCAGGCUUUAGUGAAUCAUCGAAUCUUUGAACGCACAUUGCGCCCCUUGGUACUCCACUGGGCAUGCCUGUUUGAGCGUCAUCUACAUCCUCGAGCGACGCUCGGUGUUGGGCGCCUGUCCGCCGCGCGGCGGACUCGCCUCGAAGCCAUUGGCGGCGAUCCGGCCAGCUCCCCACGCAGCGCACGCGUCUUGGGGUCAGCUCUGGCGGGAUCCGCAACCACCAAGCACCACUAGGUCUGACCUCAAAUCAGGUAGGGAUACCCGCUGA
rnacentral:misc_RNA from 1 species